AUGCACGUGCCUGGAUCUGAGUUGAUUACGGUGAUGAUUCCCUCGUCGAGAUUGACCCCCAGCUUCGCUACAGCUUUCAACUUUCUUCAACGAGUAUUCAGCAUUGACACCAUUGUGAAACCUCUUCCGCCUGCCAUGGCGUACAAUGUUUCCCGCAACUUGAACUUCUUCACACGCAUUUUCACACAGUUUUUUGAUCCAAAAGGUAUAGCAAAUGCCCAAAAAUCGUUAGGGAUAGGACAGGAAGAGAAGGCUCGUCAUGUUUGUUGAAAAAGAGA